rnacentral:rRNA from 1 species
AUUGAACGCUGGCGGCAGGCCUAACACAUGCAAGUCGAGCGGAUGAAGGGAGCUUGCUCCUGUAUUCAGCGGCGGACGGGUGAGUAAUGCCUAGGAAUCUGCCUGGUAGUGGGGGAUAACGUCCGGAAACGGGCGCUAAUACCGCAUACGUCCUGAGGGAGAAAGUGGGGGAUCUUCGGACCUCACGCUAUCAGAUGAGCCUAGGUCGGAUUAGCUAGUUGGUGGGGUAAAGGCCUACCAAGGCGACGAUCCGUAACUGGUCUGAGAGGAGGAUCAGUCACACUGGAACUGAGAAACGGUCCAGACUCCUACGGGAGGCAGCAGUGGGGAAUAUUGGACAAUGGGCGAAAGCCUGAUCCAGCAAUGCCGCGUGUGUGAAGAAGGUCUUCGGAUUGUAAAGCACUUUAAGUUGGGAGGAAGGGCAGUAAGUUAAUACCUUGCUGUUUUGACGUUACCAACAGAAUAAGCACCGGCUAACUUCGUG